rnacentral:rRNA from 1 species
GACGAACGCUGGCGGCGUGCUUAACACAUGCAAGUCGAACGAAGUGGCGAACGGGUGAGUAACGCGUAAUCAACCUGCCCUUCAGAGGGGGACAACAGUUGGAAACGACUGCUAAUACCGCAUACUGAAGGAGGGGUUUGCGUCUGAUUGGCUAGUUGGAUGGGUAACGGCCCACCAAGGCGAUGAUCAGGAGCCGGGCUGAGAGGUGGAACGGCCACAUUGGGACUGGGACACGGCCCAGACUCCUACGGGAGGCCGCAGUGGGGAAUCUUCCGCAAUGGACGAAAGUCUGACGGAGCAAAGCCGCGGGAGAGAUGGCGGCCUUCGGGUUGUAAAGCUCUGUUAAUCGGGACGCGGUACCGGAAUAGAAAGCCACGGCUAACUACGUGCCAGCAGCCGCGGUAAUUC